UGUUUUCUGGACUAGACAUAUAAAUUGUAGGGAGAACGCUGAGCAGAAUUGCUUGGGAUGAUGGUGUGGAGCUUGAGUUUUGCCUGGAGGGAACAGGAAGGAAGGGGGCUGGAGCAGCACUCAGUUCCUUCUCAAAAUAGAUAUUGAAUGGUAUUAAAUUCCAUUAAAGUAUGAGUUUUCUUGGAGUACCCACAUGCCUCCAGCUGCCCCUGCUUCCUGGUGAGAAAGAGGCGGGUUUUCUGUCGAGCUCUCUGAAGAGGAGGUCUCUAGACUGAGUGGCAGCUGCUGUGGGAACCCUGCGUGAUUCAAUCUGAACGGCUAUGGACCAGCUCCUGUGCUGUAGAUUCUAUUUAUUUAUAUGAGAGAGAGGAAGAGAGAGCACAAGUGGGAAGCAGGGGCAGAGAGAGGGACGACUCCCCGCGGAGCAGGAAGCCCGACACUCGGUGCUCAAUCCCAGGACCCCAGGGUCGUGAACUGAGUCGAAGGCAGACGCUUCACUGACUGAGCUACCCAGGCGCCCCUCAUUUCAUCAUCCUUACCCUAGAGAAUUGUCGAAGAGAAAAGAACCACAAAGGAUGAGUUUUGCUUGCCUUGGAGAGGGUUCUCCAGAGCAACAGAAACAAGAGGAUCCGCAGACACCCGUAUGUGUAUCUAACUUAUUAUAUCUGGAGGGAGAUUCAUUAGGGGCAAUUGGCUCAUGCGAUUAUGGGGCCAAGAAGUUUCACAGUCUGGGUGCAAGAGCAGAGACCCAGAAGAGCAGGGGUCCAGUUCCAGUGUGAGCGGGAGGCCCGACAACAGAGAGACCAGGGGUGUCAGUCCGGGUCCAAGUCUCAAGACAGGAGAAGAUCAAUGUCUCAGCUUCAUGGGCAAGCAGAGAGACGGAGAACUCCUCAUUCCUCCAUCUUUUUGUUCUAGUUGGGACGAGGGUUGUUGUGUUUGCUCUGCCUAAUCCAACAGAUGGAUGGGGUGCACCCACACCGGGGAGGGUCUGCGGAUUCAAAUGCUAAUGUCUUCUGGAAAUACUUUCAUAGAGACAACCAGAACCACGCUUAACCAGAUGUCUGGGCAUCUUGUGACCCAGUCAUGUUGACACAUAAAAUCAACCAUCGCAGGCAGUACUCAGCAUGAUAGCUAAGAAUUCAGAUCACGGAGUCCGAGAGACACAAGUCUGAAUUUUGGGCUCUGCUAUACACGCUGUGUGGCCUUAUUUUAGGUGACUUCACGUCUCUGUGCUGUAGCUCCCGCAUCUGUAAGAUGGGAACGAAAAGAGAACCACCAGGAGGGCUAGUUGCGAGGAUGAAAGGUGAUUAGGCACGAACUAGGAUCUUUGUGACUAGAAGAACCCUCGGGCUGGAAGGAAUUGCCGAGUCCAUCUGACUUUUCUUAUGGAUUAUAUAGGAAGAAUGAAACCAGAGCCCAGACAGACAAGCUCAGCCUGUCUCUGAGGAGAGAGCCGGUAAUGGAAUCCGUGUGUGGUGCCCAGAAUGGAAAUGAGAGAUAUACAGCAAGACUAUCGGUCAUUCCGUACCACGAGGGCCACUUUGGCUGGCCGCACAGACGAGUCUGGUUGUCGGGGCUGGCUGGGGCUGCCAUGGGCAGCGUCUGAAGCAGGAUCUAGAAGUCAGUCAGGUGCUUGGGCCCUUACGGUCAGAUGACUCUACGGGUGUGAACUCCUGUAUUCAUCCCAGUGGGGGGAGGGUCUUCACAUUCCCUCGUUUCUCCAUUAAUCUUAUCUUUUCGCUUUUACCAAAUAUGCCCUUUUGGGGAGGAAUUUUAAAAAAGCAAUCAGGUGAGUGCCGUGGGAGCCCUGCCAUCAUCAAUAAUGGUGUCACUAAUCAGUAUGAUUUUAUUCAUCACAACAAAACUUCUGAGCACGAGCCCUCACCAGGCAUUCCCUCCUUAUCUUUACAUGACCGGAUGCGGCAGCGUAAAAGGCUUUUCCCCUUCUUUGGGUCAUCCGUGGGGAAAUGGAGCAACAACAGUGGUCAACUGCGUCCAAGAGACACUCAGCAACAGAAUAGCUCAACCUGGAGAUCACCUCCUGAGACAGAAAGGGUCAAGCCCCUCGUGUCUGCUUGCUGACCUCACUGUCUCUCAGGUGGGCUCGUCCCCACCCUCCCAAAGUUCGGGAGCAGGGCUCCUCGGGCAGAGGUCAAGGCUAGUUGACUUUGUCUGGCCAUGGAUCGUGCAUGUGGUUCCAGUCACCCAGAGAGCCGGUGCAGGGACUCUCAUUUCAAUAUGGUGUCUUCCAAGGAAGCAGUUUUAUGACUUAAAUCUCAAGCCCUCUCCUCGGCGUCUUCCCAGCACACCUUCCUUUUGGCUUCCGAGGCAUCGGUGGCUACAGGGGUGUUCCUGUGUGCACCAUGUUGUGACUUAGCUUGCUAUCUGUCCCAGCCCUUGUCAUUCUGUCCUGAACACACUAGGUGCUCAAUACAUAUUUGUUAAACUGACUUAGAGCAAUGAAUCCAUUCAUAUGCAGAGAAUAAUGGUUUGAGAACUGAAGAUGUUCCAAGCAGAUUUCGGAGGCAAUACCAAAAGGAGUUUUUUUGUUUUGUUUUGUUUUGUUUUAAGUGUGGGGUCAGAGAAAUUAAGGGACACUGGCUGCCAUAAAGGCUUGAUACAAUAAUGGUUUAUCUUGUCAUUACAUCCCAGUGUAGGUCUGGGUGCCUCUUCUACAGCGUCUGGGCUGUUCUGUUACUGUCCCACCAGCAGAUAAUUCCUAUAGAAGGUCCCACUUCUGAGUCAAAUACAGGUCAUAAAAGUUCUAACUUCAACUGAAACUGUCUUGUGUCUUCUACAAAAUGCUAGACUUACAACAUAAUUAAAAAAAAAAAACCCACAGUAUUUAUGCUAGUGAUCAGGGCAGCCUCAUUAAAAGUGUGAUUACAUCCAAA